GCGGAAGAAUUUUGGCGGCGCACUCAGACUGCCGGUACUUCCGGUGAGGGUCGUCUCGUCGAGGCUGGUGGGUCUACGCGAGGAGACCUGCGGGGUCCUGAGGCUGUGGAGGGCUGGAGUGAGGCGGACAGGAGAAGAAGCCUGGAGCUGAGGACCGAGAGUUGAAUAAGCAUAUAUAUCAUUAUAAGCACCAUGGAUGAAGAACCUGAGAGAACCAAGCGGUGGGAAGGAGGCUAUGAGAGAACCUGGGAAAUUCUUAAAGAAGAUGAAACUGGAUCACUUAAAGCUACAAUAGAAGAUAUUCUCUUCAAGGCAAAGAGGAAAAGAGUGUUUGAGCACCAUGGACAAGUCCGACUUGGAAUGAUGCGCCACCUGUAUGUGGUGGUGGAUGGAUCGAGAACAAUGGAAGAUCAGGAUUUAAAGCCCAAUAGACUGACUUGCACUUUAAAGUUGCUGGAAUACUUUGUAGAAGAAUAUUUUGAUCAAAACCCUAUCAGUCAGAUUGGAAUAAUUGUAACUAAGAGUAAAAGAGCUGAAAAACUGACUGAACUCUCAGGAAACCCAAGGAAACAUAUAACAUCUUUGAAGAAAGCUGUAGAUAUGACCUGCCAUGGAGAACCAUCGCUCUAUAAUUCCUUAAGCAUGGCUAUGCAGACCCUAAAACACAUGCCUGGACAUACAAGUAGAGAAGUGCUCAUCAUCUUCAGCAGCCUCACCACCUGUGAUCCAUCUAAUAUUUACGAUCUCAUCAAGACCCUGAAGACAGCUAAAAUUAGAGUGUCUGUUAUUGGAUUAUCUGCGGAGGUUCGAGUUUGUACUGUACUUGCUCGUGAAACUGGUGGUAUAUAUCUGCUAUCUUCAAUAAUUAUAAUUACUGUGCACAUACCAUGUUAUCUUAGAUGAAACCCAUUACAAGGAGUUGUUGGCACAUCAUGUGAGCCCCCCUCCUGCCAGCUCAAGCUCCGAGUGCUCACUCAUUCGCAUGGGAUUCCCUCAGCAUACCAUUGCUUCUUUGUCUGAUCAGGAUGCAAAACCAUCCUUCAGCAUGGCGCAUUUGGAUAACAACAGCACUGAGCCAGGGCUUACACUGGGAGGCUACUUCUGCCCACAGUGCCGAGCAAAGUACUGCGAGCUUCCUGUUGAAUGUAAAAUAUGUGGUCUUACUUUGGUGUCUGCACCUCAUUUGGCAAGAUCUUACCAUCAUUUAUUUCCUUUGGAUGCUUUUCAAGAAAUUUCCCUAGAAGAAUAUAAAGGAGAAAGGUUUUGUUAUGGAUGUCAGGGGGAAUUGAAAGACCAACAUGUCUAUGUUUGCACAGUGUGCCAAAAUGUUUUUUGUGUGGACUGUGAUGUCUUUGUUCAUGACUCUCUCCAUUGUUGUCCUGGCUGUAUUCAUAAGAUCCCAACUCCUUCAGGUCCAUCUCUGUAAUGGUUAGAAAAUUUACACCAUGAAGCAGCAUCCUGAAUGUGGAGAAAGAAGGGCACUACCAGCCGUUUGGGAAAUAUGUUAGUGGAAUCUCCAGACCUUCACGCAUCAUGACUGAUCAGCUAGCUGAAAACAAACUGCUGAACUAAAGAAGUUUUCUCCUUAGUGGAUGAAGAUGGAGAUGGCAAUGGGAACAUGAACUUGGCCCUCCCAUAUGGUCACUGAAAAACCCCAACAAGCCAAUUCAGGAUAUCCCAGAAUCUUUACUCUGAUGGAAAAAAAGAAGAAAGAAGAAAGAAAAAAAGAA